rnacentral:rRNA from 1 species
GAUGAACGCUAGCGACAGGCUUAACACAUGCAAGUCGAGGGGCAGCAUAAAAGUAGCAAUACUUUGGUGGCGACCGGCGCACGGGUGAGUAACGCGUAUGCAACCUACCUAUCAGAGGGGAAUAACCCGGCGAAAGUCGGACUAAUACCGCAUAAAACAGGGGCACCGCAUGGUGAUAUUUGUUAAAGAAAUUCGCUGAUAGAUGGGCAUGCGUUCCAUUAGGUAGUUGGUGAGGUAACGGCUCACCAAGCCGACGAUGGAUAGGGGAACUGAGAGGUUGGUCCCCCACACUGGUAAUGAGAAACGGACCAGACUCCUACGGGAGGCAGCAGUGAGGAAUAUUGGUCAAUGGGCGGGAGCCUGAACCAGCCAAGUCGCGUGAAGGAAGAAGGAUCUAUGGUUCGUAAACUUCUUUUGCAGGGGAAUAAAGUGCAGGACGUGUCCUGUUUUGUAUGUACCCUGAGAAUAAGGAUCGGCUAACUCCGUGCCAGCCGCCGCAGUAAAAC